GGCUCGGUAGCGUCUGGGACGCGUCUGCGUUUAAUGAAUGAGCGUCGUGGUUACAUAUCUCUGCAGACUGCCCGUUCGAAUCGGGUCCGAGCCA